rnacentral:rRNA from 1 species
UACGGAGGGGGCUAGCGUUGUUCGGAAUUACUGGGCGUAAAGCGCACGUAGGCGGCUUUGUAAGUUAGAGGUGAAAGCCCAGGGCUUAACCCUGGAAUUGCCUUUAAGACUGCAUCGCUAGAAUCGUGGAGAGGUAAGUGGAAUUCCGAGUGUAGAGGUGAAAUUCGUAGAUAUUCGGAAGAACACCAGAGGCGAAGGCGACUUACUGGACACGUAUUGACGCUGAGGUGCGAAAGCGUGGGGAGCAAACAGG